UUUUUUUGAAUCAAACAAGUUUAAUUCAUUUCCUUUUCACAUCACAUUUAUAUUUGUUUGGAUACAUCAUUACAUUCACUUUGUUACUUUUAAAGCAUUUUAUGGUCAUACAUUACUAUACAAUAAAACAAAAUUGGAAUCAUUAUUGGUGGUACAGAGAACCCAGCAACCCCUGAUGGACUGGGAACCGACAGAGAGCUUAUAGACUGGUUGCAACUACAAGGAGUGGAUGCAAAUACAAUAGAAAAGGUAAAUUUCUAAAUCAAAGUAUUCCUAUGAUAUUGUUGAAAAGCUGCUUAUCCAUACAUGAAUCUUUCAGAUUGUUGAAGAGGAUUAUACACUUUCUGAUAUUCUCAAUGAUAUCACUAAGGAAGACCUAAGGUGCCUCAGACUACGUGGUGGUGUCCUCUGUAGGCUUUGGCAUGCAGUCUCCCAGCACAGAAGACAAAUGCAGGAGUCAUCACAGUGAGCCAAGCUGGGGAGAAAGAGCAAAAGAUACCCUACACCUGGCUCACAAUUAAAGCUUCUGCUGUCAAUGUACACAGAAACCCCGAGUUUACACAGAAAGACCCUUGCUCAUUUAAUUCAAGCACGCGUGGUUUUAGAGUA